GACGAACGCUGGCGGCGUGCUUAACACAUGCAAGUCGAACGGAAAGGCCCUGCUUUUGUGGGGUGCUCGAGUGGCGAACGGGUGAGUAACACGUGAGUAACCUGCCCUUGACUUUGGGAUAACUUCAGGAAACUGGGGCUAAUACCGGAUAGGAGCUCCUGCUGCAUGGAGGGGGUUGGAAAGUUUCGGCGGUUGGGGAUGGACUCGCGGCUUAUCAGCUUGUUGGUGGGGUAGUGGCUUACCAAGGCUUUGACGGGUAGCCGGCCUGAGAGGGUGACCGGCCACAUUGGGACUGAGGUCCGGCCCAGACUCCUACGGGAGGCAGCAGUGGGGAAUAUUGCCCAAUGGGCGGAAGCCUGAUGCAGCAACGCCGCGUGCGGGAUGACGGCCUUCGGGUUGUAAACCGCUUUCGCCUGUGACGAAGCGUGAGUGACGGUAAUGGGUAAAGAAGCACCGGCUAACUACGUG
rnacentral:rRNA from 1 species